rnacentral:rRNA from 1 species
GAUGAACGCUGGCGGCGUGCCUAAUACAUGCAAGUCGAGCGAAUGGAUUAAGAGCUUGCUCUUAUGAAGUUAGCGGCGGACGGGUGAGUAACACGUGGGUAACCUGCCCAUAAGACUGGGAUAACUCCGGGAAACCGGGGCUAAUACCGGAUAACAUUUUGAACCGCAUGGUUCGAAAUUGAAAGGCGGCUUCGGCUGUCACUUAUGGCUGGACCCGCGUCGCAUUAGCUAGUUGGUGAGGUAACGGCUCACCAAGGCAACGAUGCGUAGCCGACAGGAGAGGGUGAUCGACCACACUGGGACUGAGACACGGCCCAGACUCCUACGGGAGGCAGCAGUAGGGAAUCUUCCGCAAUGGACGAAAGUCUGACGGAGCAACGCCGCGUGAGUGAUGAAGGCUUUCGGGUCGUAAAACUCGGUUGUUAGGGAAGAACAAGUGCUAGUUGAAUAAGCUGGCACCUUGACGGUACCUAACCAGAAAGCCACGGCUAACUACGUGCCAGCCGCCGCAGUAA